GGGUUGGAUAGAGGAGAUCGAGUGGCAAAAUAUCUCGCGAGCCCUGGGCGCCUUCAGUUUCCCUUUCUCUAUCCAAUUCUCCAUCGACCUACUACAACCGCCGCCUCCUCCUCGAUCCAUGUGCUCACCCUUUGCCGCCGCCACCGGAGAGGCUUGCCUCCGCGGCCGCACGCCUUAGAUCCGACGGAAGGAAAAGGAGGAAGAGACCCGCACUGUCCUGUUCCUUGAGGUGGUGGAGGAGCAGCCGAGGGCGACGACGGCGUCCUUGGCCGAGCACACGGACGGAAGGGGGGAGAGGAGUGUAGACGCUCGUGGGGAUUGAGGGGAAGGAGAAAGGUGAUGAUGAUGCCGGCUACUUGGGGAAGGGGAUGCGGGUGACCUGGGGCGAGUCAAGCGACCUGAGGCGAGGCCGGUGGCGACCUAUGGAAGGAAUGGGACGCCGGCGACCUUGGGAAGGAAGGGGAGGCCGGCGAAUUGGGGUAGGUGAUGCGGGUGACCUGGGGAAUGGCGGCUGGGAGCUCCUCAGCCCGUCGUCGCUGUCGGCCGCCGGCGACCACCGCCCGUUGCUUGGAGGAUGAGGGGAAUGGAGAAAGAGGAGCAGUAUCGGGAAGGAGUUUUGGGCGAUGGGCAGCCGCGCCAGGCGACAUGCUCGCGGUGCCGCUUGGUGGCUGAGAUGAGGCUGCCGCAUGCUCUGUUCCGAUGGGCCUCCUCUGCUCGAUGGUUGCACUGGUUGAGUUUGGUACGGUUCCUGUUGUCGGCUGCGUCGAGCCUUGGGUCUUGUCUGUCCUUCGCAUUGAGAUAAAUAGCACGGACAACAUAUCAGUGCUCUAUCUGUGUCUAAGGGCUCCAAGAGAUGCAGUCAUAGACAGUGACUGGUCCCUGAAGUUUGGGACGUUAAGGAUAAAAUCAAGCAGUUUUCAGAAACUUUUAGUUGUGGCUCAUGGGUUGGAGCAACUGGGAAACCAUUGACAAAUGUGGUCUCAGUUGGAGUUGGUGGUAGCUUCCUUGGACCUCUGUUUGUGGAUGCAGCUCUCCAGAUUGGUUGGAGGCAUUGGUGUGAGGGUGUUGUGGUGACGUGCUCCUCCAUGCGUCGUGCGAGUUCUUGGUGUCGCGGUCAUGGCUCCAGAGAGCAGCGCUUCAAGGUCACUUAAGCUUGAAUGGGUUAUCAAGUCUACUGGAAGCAUUCAUGUUUAGCCUUGUUCAUUGGUUUUAGAACAGACGCUCCCUUAAGUAUGUUUAAUCACAAUUAAAAUGAGGAAGCCAAAUUAUUGCAAUGUAAAUCCCUGAACUCGGAGGCUUGAUCCACUAUCACUUGCUCCCGCCACUGUGUCAUAAUAUCUCAUUUUCAUAUAUAAGAUGAUAGUAACUGAAUGAUCAUAUUAGGAGUGCGUUAUUGGCAGCCUUGUGAGGUUUUCUUCGUAACUUCUUCUCCUAUUUUUAAUGUUUGUAUUCUCUUUGUUGCAAGGUGUGGCUGCAGGUAAAGUUGUCAAGUUGAUCUGGUGCUUGCUUGAGCCAUUGAUUACUGUUGCUUUGCUAAGGUUCAAUGUCUUACUACAUGAGAAAUUUAUUCCAAUGCUUUCUCAAUCCCUUUACCAUGAUGACUACCAGAGGAACCUUCAAUGUGUAUAGAUGGUGAUGGAUAUGGGGACACACAAGAACUAGCGAACUUAAUACCAGAUGCCCUCAACUAUGAAUUCUUUAAUUAUUGGAGGCUUUCAUAUUCAUAUCAAUACAAGGUGGGAUAUGAUGCAGGCUUUAGAAUCACUAAGGUUGCUCUUGCUCUGUUCUUUUGGUCAAGGUUUGUCCUUGUCAUUCUUUUCUAAGGACUGCACUUUUCUACCCUAUUUGUUUACUGCUUAUUGUCGUGUUAAUUCCUCUGUUCCUGAUUUUUCCAGGUGUCGUGUUUGUGUGUUUGUUUUUGUGGUGCUGCUUAUAUGUGUGACUACCGUGUGAUCGUAUAUAUAUGCUGAAAAGUAAAAUGAUUUUUCCUUGGCACGAUACAUAAUUUGUAAUGAGAUGGUAGUACAUCAGUGUAUUUACAGGAAAAAAUUAUAGAAGUCUAUUAAUAAUCCAGGGUGAAGAAUAAGUAAUUUUUCACCCCGGUCGAGCGGCCGAGCCUGGUUCUUUUGAUCGCACGCGCGUUGUGCCUCCGGCCGUCCAUCGUUACCCCACACGCGAGCGGCAGGUGAGCGCCAUGGCUCGGUGGUUGACGUGGGGAGCGGCGGUUGACCCGGUGGGGGCGCGACGGCGUGCUGCUGGAUGGGUUUACUCGUCGGCAGCAAUAUGGAUGACCACGGCUGCAAGGUGAGCGGGGUCCGGCCUGGGUGUUGGGAAGCACGCGUGUGGUAGUCGGCUGGCCAUGGCGGCGGUUGAGUUGGUGGUCACGGCGGCACAGGUUAGAUUGUGCGUGCUCUCCUCCAGCCACGGCUGCUUGCCCAUGUACUCUUUGAUAACUUAUAUCCAGCCAAGCGCUUGCCUUGACGUCCUCACAGCUGGAGAUCCAUGACUAAGAGCUCUCCUCAAUGUCUCCAUUCAAGCGGAUGAUGACAAAUGUAUGAUGGAUAGAGAGGAAUAAGUUUUCUAGAAAACGUCUUCGUAUUUUAGUGUAUGGUUUUUUAGAGAGGAGGCGCUUGCCCGGCUUUAGCGAAAUGAAGCCCUUAAAGCGUUUACAACCAGAGUAGCGAAACGAGAAUAAAAAAGGGGUUUGAUACAAGGCACACAGGGCUAACACACAAGGCCGAACGAAAACGAAAAACUGAGCAUAACGGAGGAUCAGUCUCCAGGCAUAUUUUUUAGUGAAAUAAGGUGGGUACAAGUAAUUCUAGAUCCAAAUUUAGAGCUUUUGCCAGUAAUCAGUAGCAAAAUUCAAGAUUGCCGAGAAGAGAGGUGAAACUAAAGGCUUCAACACUAUUGUUAGGAUACUAUGUUGCUUCCAAGCUAUGGAUAGGAAUAGUUCAUUCGCUUGAGAGAUUGUUGAACAUAUGAAAUUGAUGGAAAUCUCUGGGCACCCUCAAGUUAAGCUGCUUGAAAACCAAGUUCAAAUAUGUGUGAGGGUAGUGCAGUUGGGCAUGUGAUUCUAUUGCACAUGAUGUAAUCGGACCAUUAGAUCAGUUUUGAAAUAGUGAUCUUCGAACAAUUUUUUUUGUACUUGUGGGGAUAGUUUUCAUGACUUGAAACAUUUCCCAGAACCAUUACUAGUCUUGUACGUUGAAUCAAUUUAUUAUACGGCUUUGUUAUUCCUAGGGACAUGUUGAUUGUUUUUCCAUUACAUAGCAUUGUUUUACGGCCAUCGGGCUACCAUCUGUUCCUUGAGGCUGGUGAUUGUACCGUAUUCGUGAUGAAACGUAUGUCCCUUUUAUGUUCCGUUCUUCAGAUAUUAAUGUUGUCAUCUCAAUCAGAACUGAGCAUCGGUUAUGGGCUUUUGGAUUGUGAUCAUCCUGCUGUGCUGACAUACUUACCAAGAAGAAACAAAGCUUUUGCCUCCAUUUUUUCGGACUUGUGCCUGUUUUGCCCUACAAAGAUAAGAACGGAUGGUCUUUUCAAGAUUAUUUUUAUUUAAGAUUAUUUCGUGAUUAUCUUUGUAGGGCAAAUCCCACUUUUGGAACACAUUUUAAGAUUUUGGAUCUGGCAUUUUCAAGAUUAUUUCGUACCAUAAAAAAAUCAUUUAAUUUGCUCAUCUAACAGUAAAGUUAACAAGGCCCAGGAAUCAUUUUGUGUGUGUGUGUGUGUGUUCUAAAGCAACAAGGUCAUCUGGACCUCGCCAGAAAAACGAGAUGAUCCCGUUUAUAACUGUCGUGCAAAACAUUUUAGAAGAAAAUGCAGACAGGAAUUACACCGUAGACCAAUUUAUAGCAACGUAGUCUUAUCGUACAAAAAACGUCAGGUGCGCUUCCAUACUCACAGUAAAAUUAUAGCAAGAACAUUUAUGUUUUAUAGGGCUUUUUUGAUGUGCCAUAGGGCUUCUCACGUGCAUGAUGUAAAUUAUUGUCAUGCAGAAGGUAAUAUUACGUGGCUCCUUUUUGGUUUAUGGAAUGGAGAACGGUUCCUUCUUUAGAUGUAAUCUUACCUCAAGUGCUUUUGUGUUCUCACGUUUUAAAGGUGUGGCUGUGGGAGAUAGCUGGGUGAGGAAUAAUUAUUCCUUUCUUCUACUCUUUCUUGAUGUAUGCUGUCAUAUAUUGCUUCUCUACUUGCUCAAAAUCAAAUUUGCAUCUAUGAAAAGGUAAGAAAUUAAGGCCAGUGAGAUGGCAGUAGAUUGGCAUGUUUACAGGAAAAAACAAAUAGCCAUGCAAGUUUGAAAGAACAUCUUUUUACUAUUUCUUGCUAUAUGCAUAUUUCCCAUCUUCUUCCUUCAGAAUCAAAUGUGCGUCUACUAAAGGAUAAGCAAUUAAGGCUGCAAUCUAAGAAUAGAAUCAAAUGUGCAUCUACUAAAGGAUAAGAAAUUAAGGCUGCAAUCUAAGAAUACUUUUAUUUGCCAUUCUGAAUUUCUAUCACAGCACAGAGGAAUGAGGAAUGGAUACAGGAGGCAUGGCGUAAGCGUAGGGGUCAGCCAGGGCACGACGCAGGAGUCUGCCCAUCUCCUCUCAAAGGCCUCUCAUUCUUUAACCCUGACUAUAAAAAUCCAUUGAUGGAAGCUGGGGAGGGCCGAGAUGAACAUCCGGCUCCGUGGGUCUAAGCCAUCGAGAUGGUAGAGACGACGUUUCUAUGUCAUCUACUCCAACUGCCGGACAAGGCAUAUAAAAACCAUGGAUCCUUGCUCCCCAGGCCGCAAAAUGAUCACAGUGAUGUCUACGCCUCCUCCUAGAUGUAUUAAUCUCAAUCUCAAUCUCAUGUUUGGUUUUCUUCACUUUUCUCUUCUAAUGAUG